CCUACGGGAGGCAGCAGUGGGGGAUAUUGCACAAUGGGGGGAACCCUGAUGCAGCGACGCCGCGUGGGUGAAGAAGCGCCUCGGCGCGUAAAGCCCUGUCAGCAGGGAAGAAAAUGACGGUACCUGAAGAAGAAGCCCCGGCUAACUACGUGCCAGCAGCCGCGGUAAUACGUAGGGGGCAAGCGUUAUCCGGAUUUACUGGGUGUAAAGGGCGUGUAGGCGGGGAAGCAAGUCAGAUGUGAAAACCACGGGCUCAACCUGUGGCCUGCAUUUGAAACUGUUUUUCUUGAGUGCUGGAGAGGCAAUCGGAAUUCCGUGUGUAGCGGUGAAAUGCGUAGAUAUACGGAGGAACACCAGUGGCGAAGGCAGCUUACUAAACUGCCACUGACAUUGAUGCUCGAAAGUGUGGGUAUCAAACAGGAUUAGAUACCCCUGUACUC
rnacentral:rRNA from 1 species